rnacentral:lncRNA from 1 species
CCCUGGCCUAGUGAAGCAGAUCCCCAGUUGUUUGUGUUGCAUUAAUUUAAAUACUAAUCUUUGCCUCCCAUUUUCAUAAUGGCAAUAAUUUCUAGUUUAGUCAAAGCCUGUCAUGCUUUCAACAAACAAUAAGGUUGCAAAAGCGCCUGGCAUAUUCAUGAGUCCUUUAAAUAAAUAGGUUUCAGUUGGGUUGGUUUUGGCUCUAAGUAGCAGAACACCCAAACUGAAGUUGCUUAAGUCAAACAAAAUGUACUGGUGCACCUAACUGGACGUCCAGACAUUGGACAGGCGUCAGGGGGUAACGCAGCGGUUCCAGCUCCGUGUCCCUGCCAUCCACACGAUGAUUUUCUGCCCUUGUUUUCUCUCUUUUCUCCCUCUCAGGUUGGAAGAAAGAAGGCCGCGGAAUUUCCAGGCCUCGUCCCACACAAAGCAGUAUCUGGAGGAAGAUGAGAUCAUUUCUUCAUGCAGGUCUCAGGAAGAAGGUAACUUUCCCUAGAUCCUUUUACAAACUCUCCCCUCAUCUCAUUGGCCCAGAUGGCGUUGUGUGCCUAACCCUGAAAUAACCUUUGUGGCAGAGGGAAUGCCUGGCUUUGACCUGCAUUUCCAAACCAGUCACUGGCAAAGAGAGUCCUCAUCUCAUGCCUGGUUCCCAGCUCUCAGCAAGAGGAGGAAGACUGGGCAGCCCCAACCCAACGGCAUGCAGUUUCCACGGCUGCAGAGUGUGCGGCAGUAAAGGCAGCGGAGUCCUGAGCAGCCGGGCUGCUUCCUGGUGGCCUUUACUCCUGCUCAGUUUCCUAACCUAGCUCUGCAUCGUCGCCAGAAAUUCUGUGAGUAUAGAAUUCUGAACCGACAAACCUCAAGGUUCACAGAGAUAUGAAACCUGUCCUCCAGCACUGAAAUCAGAAUGAAACCUUGUUUUAAAACAGGAGCAACAUGGCUCUGCCUCCUAAAGCCUGGGCCUUAGGACAAUAAGAUGCUUUGCAAACUUCUACUUCAUCAGUGGCUGAAGGAAAUUCACGCAACGCCAUCUGCUUCAACUAACAUUUGUGUAAAAUAAAAAUUCUAGAAUGUCAG